ACCCACAUUGACCUGCGGGAACCGUCUCGUGUCGAAGCGCAGUUGGUCUAGUGGUAGAAUUCUCGCCUGCCACGCGGGAGGCCCGGGUUCGAUUCCCGGACUGCGCACACUUUUCUCAGAGAACCCAGGUGUGAGCAGCCCCCUCCCGCCGCAGAAGGGAAAAGGUCCACACCAUGUCAUCGAAAGGCCACGGUUUUAGCCGAGCGAGGGCUCCGUCUAACCGCACGCCGGAUGCGCUCAAGAAUGUUGGCCACGCUCCGGCCAGGGCUCUCUGAAGACCCUCCGUCUGCCGGUGCGCCGCAUUUCCAACCCGUCACCCGCGCAACGGGCGCCACCGCCCCCUUGUUUUGGGGCACUUGCGCCCCGAGCCAAGGCGCGCAGCCCGAGGAGCGGUAGGCCCGAGACGACGCGGCGCACCACCAAAAGGGAGGUGAGCAAACGGAAAGGCCGGCAAAGCGAACCCAUGACGUGCGGCAGGAUAGCCCCCCCCCCCACAGCCCGGCCGCAGCCCCGCGAAAAACAGCGAACUCUGAAUUCUGCAGCCCUUGACCUCAUUAUCGUAGAAUAGGCAUGCCGACCGACGCAGCAAAAAAAUGCCAGCCAAAAAACGGGGUCCGAAAGCAAAAUGGUUUUCAAAAUCUUUCCAAAAGGUCAAGAAAAAGGCCGCUAGGGGGAUCGAACCCCUGACCUCCG
rnacentral:tRNA from 1 species